UGUGGCCUUCUGACCGGUGAGACCCUUGGAGCGCCUUGCUCUGGAGCCCCCUGGACGCUCAAGCGACUCUGAUUUUAUCCUGCCGAUUGUGGUCCUGAGGAGCCGUGGGGCUCCCCAAUCCCCGCUUUGGGGCGAUGUGUAGCGGCCGGUGUCCCCGAGCGAGGAAGGUGGAUCGCUGAACGAUGCAAGCAAGGCAGUGUGUCUUGUCUCAAAGUGGAUGCAAUGGAAAUUGUAAAGGAUACGACUUGUGGAAGUAUGCCCCG
rnacentral:lncRNA from 1 species